rnacentral:rRNA from 1 species
GCUACACACGUGCUACAAUGGUCGGUACAAAGGGUUGCCAAGCCGCGAGGUGGAGCUAAUCUCAAAAACCGAUCGUAGUCCGGAUCGCAGUCUGCAACUCGACUGCGUGAAGUCGGAAUCGCUAGUAAUCGCGAAUCAGAAUGUCGCGGUGAAUACGUUCCCGGGCCUUGUACACACCGCCCGUCACACCAUGGGAGUGGUGCACCA